CACAAUGGUGGUUCCUCUCUGUUGUAAUGGCUGUGGAGGCUGAGCUGGGAACUCAGCCGGUGGUUUGGGAGACAUAGAGGAAUUAUUGGUCAAUAAUGCGACAAAGCAGAUGAGGUGAUCCCUACUAAAUGACAUAAUGACAUCCUGCCUGGCUCUCAAGGUCUAUUUCAAACACCACUCUAUCAAAAAGUUUUCUAAUUUAUACAGUCAGGAAACAUGCUUUAUCUGCAUGUUUUCAUUCAUGGUUCAUAGGAUUCAUCCCUCAUAUUGAUCUUCAAGGAGUUCUUCUUUCCGUUGAAGCUAAGCAAGAAUCCAGACCCUGACUGCUUUCAGACAUCGUGGGAAUUGCAGGAAUUUGAUGUGCGCAUUUGGGGCAGUGGGUGGGCUGGGCUGGUGGUGUGUGUGUGUGUGUGUGUGUGUGUGUGUGUGUAAGUGGCCAGACCAGAAUUUCUUUCUUGUAUUUUACAGGGGAUUAGGAUCAAGGAGGCCAGUCUUUUUACAGUCUGGUCUGGCAGUGGGGCAUGCCAGCUCAGCGAAUUAUCAAAUAAGGGCCAUGAUUAAAAUCUCUAUUCCUCUGAGCCAAGAACAAAGGUCCGAAGGGGUCAGUCUAGGCUGGGUCCAAAUAUGUCAAUAUCACUUCAUGUUCUUACUCUAGUUGGGGAGUGAGGAACAAACAGUCCAGGUAUUAGUUACUUUGAAGGUGACAUCAUGGGGAUUUUAGAGGAGGGCUCAGGGUUUAUAUGGGUAGCAGCCAUGCACUUUAUUAGCAUGUGCCAAGUGCAUUGAUUUUGGGCAUCUUUGGGAAGUCUGUGACUGGGUCUUCCCUCUAGCCUGCAGACUGGGGUCUCUUCCCAGAGUUGGGGGCCAUUCUGCAAAAUGAUAAUACUUAUUUGCCUCUAAAGGUCCAGAGACAUGUCCUACGCAUCUUGCCUGCUUCCUUGUCUUGCAGUAUAGCAAAAAGACGGAGGCUAUGGAGGUCUAAUCUUUUUAGCUUCUAGAAUCUCUAGCACAAAAUUAGUUUUGGGUAGCUGAUAAGUACUAUUUCUCAUUCAUCUUUUUGGCAAAGUUUUCUUUGCCUGAUUGUCUGAUCCAACACAGACACAAGAAGAAUAAUUUUUUUUUCUGUGCCCAGCAGAACAUAAGAGAGGAUUUAAAAUACAUAACAAUAAAUUAGCAGUUCAAGAAAGGAUAGGUAAUA